UGUGUGUGUGUGUGUGUGUGUGUGUGUGUGACAGACCUGUCCUCACAGCCAACAGAACACUAAUCCUCUGUGACUCACGACUCAUGCUGUCCAUCAUUACUCACUAAGAGCCCCACCUCUCUCUGUUCUGAUUGGCUCCCACCCAUUGUCUGAUUGGCUAGUGUCCAGCCGAAUUCCAACGAGCUGUCCAAUGACCUUUCUUCCCUCUGUUACCACUGCUAUGCUCUGUGUGUGUGUGUGUGUGUGUGUGUGUGUGUGUGUGUGUACUUUGAUAAAGGGUGUGGGUCGUUUACACAGACAAUGCAUGAGUUAUAGCUAGAAAGAGGGAGAGAGGCAUGAGAUCGAGGUGAGGAGAGUGAGAGAGAGAGUGGUAGAGAGACCACCAGUUACUUAGUAACCAAGAGAGAACUGGCUCUAUAGUCACCUUUCCCCUAAUGGCCCUUCACCCCGAGGCCCACGUGAAGCCAGCCUGCAUGCUGGGUACUCUAGUGUAUACACAUGCACACAAGAAUGCACACACACACACACACACACACACACGCUCGUAAACAUGCACAUACACGCACUCUCUCCGCCAGUCUAACAGUUAUUCUACGUAAAUUGGUUAGUUAGCUUGUUUUAAAGGUGUGGUGUUUGUGUGUAUACGUGUGUGUGUGCGUGUGUGUGUGUUUGUGUAUGUAUGUGUGUGUGUGUGUGUGUGUGUGUGUGUGUGUGUGUGUGUGUGUGUGUGUGUGUGUGUGUGUGUGUGUGUGUGUGUGUGUGUGUGUGUGUGUGUGUGUGUGGGGGGAAGGGGGAUCUAUUUACUUGACCAACAGACAGACAGAUGACCAGACAGGCUGAUGACUGAUUGUCUGAUGAUGAUUGGUCACUGAGCUCUAGAGGUGGUGGAGGUGAGAGCUAAUUGGAUAUUCAAGUCGUCAUUCAUCUCGUUUUCAUCAAACACUUUGUAAUAUAAUACAUAUAUAGUAUAUCAUACUUUGUAAUACAUUACUGAUGCCAGAUGGGAAAUUCUGGUGAAGUGGACUCAAGUUGAAUGAAAGAAAGAGAUGACUAAAAGUAUGCCUUUAGGCAUCCAUAGAAAGAGCACAACUAACAUGGAAGGGCAGACUAUUCCACCGUUUUGGGGCAGGAACCCGCGAAUGCACGAUCUUACCAAAACCCUUCUAAACAUUCACCAAAAUGUGUGAGGAAAAGGGUAAAAAGUGUUGAUGAAGUUGCAGUAUGUAUUCCAACCACUGAAAUUAGUGCAUGAUUACUUUCUGGAUGUGAUGGACAGAGAGAAAGGACUUUGUUUUUGCUCACUAUGAGCUGGGAACAGAAUUGAUCUUGUCUCUCAAAUUUGAAUUCUGGCCAAUUUUUUUAUUGUAUUUCUUGUAAUAGUGUCCCCGAAAUAGAGUGAUGUCAUUGAUGUUAUCAAAAUGGUGUGUGUUUCUGUGUCUGUGUCUGUGUAUGUUUGUGUGUGUGCGUGCGUGCGUGCGUGUGUCUCUCUGUGUGUUUCUUGCCUAGUAUUGAGACAAUGAGACAAUCUUUGGACCUUCCAACCUUUAUAUUUCUUCCAGGCGGUCGACCAGGGGCUUCCAGGGAGACUUUCUACUCGCCCAAGUGGGAGGUCCAGCUGGGUGCCAUCAGCAUAGAGUAGAACCACGAGGCUGUGUUUCGACAUCGAGAUCUUGACACGGUGGAGAGAAGAUGCUAACGCCCAAGACAGUAGAGUCCCAGCACCACCACAAUGCUUAAUAAGUAGAGGUGAGAGUGUGUACCAUCUCUACCCUGGGUGUAUGUCCCUCACCCUGGGAGCAACUUCUCCACUGAGGUUCGCAUGAGGAUUCGCCAUUAGCGAGGCUGCUGUCAUGUCCUUUCCCAUGGGGGCCCUGGGUGAUGGAGAUGGUAAUGAUACUUAUGAACAACCGUGAUGACGACCGCCAGGAGAAAUAACACGGAGGAGGCCACCGACGAUGGUGACUGCCAUGGUAAGUGUUAUCAUAGUAGCGGAUGACAUGAUUAGUGGAAGACAGAUGAGGCCGAAAUGACUCCAGGCGCUUCAUUAUGAGGGAAUCAUACAUAUGAGAGUGUUGAUGCUGAACGUUGUAGAACCUGUGAUUGUUCUGUUCUAAUGCAUCAAUGUAAAGGGUGAU
ensembl:lncRNA